GCCAGGCGCAGUGGCAUGUGCCUAUAGUCCCAGCUACUCGGGAGGCUGAGGUGGGAGGAUCACUUGAGCCCAGGAGUUCUGGGCUGUAGUGCGUUAUGCCAAUUGAGUGUCCACACUAAGUUUGGGAUCAAUAUGGUGACCUCCCAGGAUCGGGGGACCAACAGGUUGCCUAAGGAGGGGUGAACCAGCCUAGGUCGGAAACGGAGCAGGUCAAAACUCCCAUGCUGAUCAGUAAUGGUAUCAUGCCUGUGAACAGCCACUGCACUCCAGCCUGGGCAACACAGCGAGACCCCAUCCCCC
rnacentral:SRP_RNA from 2 species